GACGAACGCUGGCGGCGUGCUUAACACAUGCAAGUCGAGCGGUAAGGCCCUUUCGGGGGUACACGAGCGGCGAACGGGUGAGUAACACGUGGGUGACCUGCCCUCAGCUCUGGGAUAAGCCCGGGAAACUGGGUCUAAUACUGGAUAUGACUCCAUGACGCAUGUUGUGGGGUGGAAAGCCUUGUGCGGCUGAGGAUGGGCCCGCGGCCUAUCAGCUUGUUGGUGGGGNGAUGGCCUACCAAGGCGACGACGGGUAGCCGGCCUGAGAGGGCGACCGGCCACACUGGGACUGAGACACGGCCCAAACUCCUACGGGAGGCAGCAGUGGGGAAUCUUGCGCAAUGGGCGAAAGCCUGACGCAGCGACGCCGCGUGAGGGAUGACGGCCUGGUUGUAA
rnacentral:rRNA from 1 species